rnacentral:rRNA from 1 species
UGAGGAAUAUUGGUCAAUGGGCGGAAGCCUGAACCAGCCAUGCCGCGUGAAGGAAGAAGGUCCUAUGGAUUUUAAACUUCUUUUGUCGGAGAGCAAUAAGGGUCUCGUGAGAUCCGAUGAGAGUAUCCGACGAAUAAGCAUCGGCUAACUCCGUGCCAGCAGCCGCGGUAAUACGGGGGAUGCGAGCGUUAUCCGGAUUUAUUGGGUUUAAAGGGUGCGUAGGCGGUCCGGUAAGUCAGCCGUGAAAAGCCCCCGCUCAACGGGGGUCGUGCGUUUGAUACUGUUGGACUGGAAUGCGGAUGCCGUGGGAGGAAUGUGUGGUGUAGCGGUGAAAUGCAUAGAUAUCACACAGAACACCGAUUGCGAAGGCAUCUCACGAAUCCGCAAUUGACGCUGAGGCACGAAAGCGCGGGUAUCGAACAGG